GGGGCGCGGUCCCUGUGAACUCUAACUGUGCUCUUUUUCUCUAUGACAGAAAAGAAGACAUUGCAGCUAGGGAUUCGUUAAUUACUUUGUUCCCUCUUUUCCUCCCUCCCUCCCUUCCUCCUUUCCUUUCACUAACAUUUUGAUGGGUGUCCCAUGUGUGCUGGACAUCAGGCGGUGGACCAGGGAUACAAGAAACGAGACUCCUAACCCUUGAGAUGCUCUUCAUGUGGUGAGGGGUGCUGCAUACAAGCAAGCAGUUCACCAGGGCUCUGGGUGACAAGUGCCAUGGAUAGCAGUAGGGCAGCUCUCAGCCCAGCUCCUGGGGAAGGAGAGAGGGAGGAUGUCCAGGUGGAGGCUGGGGGUCAUUACUCAGGGAUCAGCAAUUUGCUAAAGAUGAACCGAUUCUAAGAAGAUGGUUUUCAAGCAACAACCAAUUUUAAAUCUGGACUGUGCAUCAGGCACCUCUUGGAUGGACAGCCCUGAAACAUCUUUCAUGCAACUCCUCAGGCAGCCCAGAAACAGCCAGGAACCAUUCGCCAGGAGCUGUGGCCAACUUAAUAACUUAUCCUUGUAUUGGUUUCCAUCCUCUGUCCUUCAUCCGUCUUGUCUUUUACUCCUACUUGCUGGAUCACACAUCCCAAUAAAUUUUUGCACUC